UACGUAGGGACCGAGCGUUGUCCGGAUUCAUUGGGCGUAAAGAGCUCGUGAGCGGCUGUUCAAGUCGAACGUGAAAACUCGGAGCUCAACUCCGAGCCUGCGUUCGAUACUGGACGGCUAGAGUCUGGUAGGGGAUCGUGGAAUUCCUGGUGUAGCGGUGGAAGUGCGCAGAUAUCAGGAGGAACACCGGUGGCGAAGGCGGGAUCCUGGGCCAGUACUGACGCUGAGGAGCGAAAAGCGUGGGGAGCAAACAGG
rnacentral:rRNA from 1 species